CAGGCCGACUUUGCCAUCGAGGCCUUGGCCAAGGCCACCUACGAGCGCAUGUUCCGCUGGCUGGUCCUGCGCAUCAACAAGGCUCUGGACAAGACCAAGCGGCAGGGCGCCUCGUUCAUCGGCAUCCUGGACAUCGCCGGCUUCGAGAUCUUCGAUGCAGGCGCCCCUGGCAUCCUGGCCCUGCUGGACGAGGAGUGCUGGUUCCCCAAAGCCACGGACAAGAGCUUCGUGGAGAAGGUGAUGCAGGAGCAGGGCACCCACCCCAAGUUCCAGAAGCCCAAGCAGCUGAAUCAUCCGCUAUGCAUCUUCCACUAUGCCCGCAAGGAUCUCCAUCCCCAACCCCCAGUGAAUCCCCCAUUUGGAAACCAUAAGUUUUUCAAAGUCUGUGAGUCAGUACCUGUUCUGCAAAGAAGUUCAUUGCGUCCUUUUUUCAGAUUCCACAUUUCCUGAGCACCUAUAUGUGCUGGACCCUGAGCUGGCCCUGGAGAUAGAGACACCAGACUCAGGUGCUAACUUCCAUGAGCUUCCUCAUUCAUCAGAUGACACAAAGCCUGCACUACAGAGGGUCAGCCCAGGUUUUCUGGUUGCCAGCACCCUGCCUUUCCUACAAGAUUCCUCCACCUGGAGAGAAGAUCUGUUGUCAAGUGGAAACAAACCUGGGUAGAAAAGCACACUCAGCCCUUCUCACAAGCUUCUGCAUCCAUCCAAAUGGCAUUGACCGCCAAGGCUGGGCCUCCUCGGGCAGGUCGCUGGGACCUGAAAGUACUGGUGCUGUCCCUGCCAUCAGGGAACAAGUCUAGAGGGACCUGACCGAAGGAGUGGAGGCCCCUCUCGCAGAUUCCAUGGCAGCAGAGCGGGGGACAAUGGACUCCACAGGGGAGGGUCGCGGAGGGCUUCUCAGAGGAGGCGAUGUCAGCUUUGGGCUUUGGAAGAUGAGCAUGAUUUUUCCAGGUGGUAGGAGCAGGUGUUCCUGGCAGAGAACCAGUGUGGGCAAAUGCCUAGAACUGGCAUGGGCGUGACAUUGAGCAGCCACAAUAUGAUAAGUAUGCAGUGAGCAUCUGGUAUAUUCUGGGACUGUGCCAAGUGCUUAUGGCACAAAGGUGAGUAAGGGAGGCAGACUGAGCUGAGCUAAGGACACCCUGGAAUGUCAGGGCUGGGGUUGUUCUCUAAGGCGUCAGCAGGGCAGAUGGGAAUAGCCCAGGGUGGGGCCUGGUGGGCGGGCAGAGUGUUUGUUUGACCCGGGCGACUCAGAAGAGAGCGCUUUCAUUUUCUCUUUCGAUUCUUCAGCUCUAUCUGGGCCCAGAGGGUGUGUCUGGGUAUUGCAGAGCCGCACAGCUGGGGACCAGAUCCUCACGGUGAGAGGAGCUGCUUUGUGCUCACCCUCAGCCCAAGGAAGACUCCUGGGGUGAAGCCACACCUCCGUUCCAGCCUGACCCAGAAACGGAGCGGAAGGGAGAUUCCUGAGACCCUGCAGCUGCCACCAUGAGCUCAGAUGACCCGAGGGACCACUCAGAGAGUGAAAGCUUUUUGGAGGAGGUCACUGAGUAUUUUCGGAACACAGUGAGUAGGGAAGAACUGCAGCUCCUGCUCACUGAAGGCAAAGCCUGGGAGAAAUUUGUGACUGAGGCUGAUUUGUCCAGGGAAGAGGCAGAUGCACUGCGUGAGUAUCUGAAGGAGCUGGAAACAGACUUGGCCUUGGAGGACAAAGACUCCCUCCUACAAGACCAGCUGGAGAGAACGAGGUUUUUGCAGGAGUUUCCCCGAGUGAAACUGGAGAUCGAGGCGCAAAUAGGAAAGCUGCAUGCGCUUGCGGCCAAGGUUGACAAGGUGCACAGGGACUGCACCAUCUCCAACGUGGUGGCCACCUCCACCGGUGCUGCGUCUGGCAUCCUGACCGUUCUUGGUCUGGCUCUGGCACCCGUGACAGCAGGGUUCAGUCUGGCACUCUCUGCCACUGGGUUAGGGCUGGGAGUAGCGGCUUCUGUGACUGGUGUGUCCGCCAGCAUUGUGGACAAGGUCAACAGUUCAUUAGCAGAAAGAGAAGCCAGUCGCCUCAUGUCCACCAGCUUCAACAAAGCGGAGGUGAUUUCAGAGUCUCUGGGCAAGAGCACACCCCAAAUUGUGUCCUUAACAAAGAAUUUCAUCCAAGGCUUGCCACGCAUUGGGAAGAAUAUCCGGGCCAUCAAGCUGGCCAAAGCCAACCCUCGCUUAGCAGCCAAUGCCAAGCGCUUCAUGACCGCUGGGCAAGUCUCAGUUCGAAACAGAAGGCUGGUGAAGAAAACGUUUGAAGGGACAGUUCUGGCAAUGACCAAAAAUGCCCGGAUCAUCGGUAUGGCUACUGCAGGUGUUGCCCUUCUGAUGGACGUGGGCUUCCUGGUGAAAGAGUCAAUCCACUUGCAGCAGGGGGCAAAGGCAGAGUCAGCAGAAAGGCUGAGACAGCAGGCCCAGGAGCUGGAGAAGAAGCUGGAGGAGCUUACCAGGAUCUAUGAGAAUCUGCAGUAAGGCCUGACUCCGCCACCCCCAGAGCAGUGCAGAGACACGUCCGGGGCCAACACGCAGUGGUACCUUGGAGGCAAAGAGACGUGGACAUAAAAUGAUAAAAGUGGGGAAGCUGAGCUGGUCUCUCUGACUCUUCUUUUGGUCUAUUUUCUGGACUAUGCCGUUUCCCCAGAAGAUGAGAAAUCUGAAACCCUUGAAAAUUCAAAAGAUGUCAUUUUCUUCCCUGAAAUUCUUCCUCUUGGCUUGAUGAGUCACAAAACUUCAAGCACCAUUGUUGAAAAAUUAUUUCAAAAAAGUAUAGAAUAAAUGUCAUCUUUUCCGUUUUGUCUUUCAA
rnacentral:lncRNA from 1 species